AGAGUUUGAUCAUGGCUCAGAUUGAACGCUGGCGGUAUGCUUAACACAUGCAAGUCGAACGGUAACAGGCCUUCGGGCGCUGACGAGUGGCGGACGGGUGAGUAACGCGUAGGAAUCUGCCUCAUAGUGGGGGACAACGUGGGGAAACUCACGCUAAUACCGCAUACGCCCUACGGGGGAAAGCGGGGGAUCUUCGGACCUCGCGCUAUGAGAUGAGCCUGCGUUAGAUUAGCUAGUUGGUAGGGUAAAGGCCUACCAAGGCGACGAUCUAUAGCUGGUCUGAGAGGACGAUCAGCCACACUGGGACUGAGACACGGCCCAGACUCCUACGGGAGGCAGCAGUGGGGAAUAUUGGACAAUGGGCGCAAGCCUGAUCCAGCAAUACCGCGUGUGUGAAGAAGGCCCUAGGGUUGUAAAGCACUUUCAAUUGGGAGGAAAACCUGUCGGUCAAUACCCGGCAGCUUGACAUUACCUUUAGAAGAAGCACCGGCUAACUCCGUG
rnacentral:rRNA from 1 species